UGAUUUAUAUAUGCUGAAUCAUUCUUGUAUCUCUGGAAUGAAGACUAUUUCAUCAUCAUGGAUGAUCUUUUUGAUGUGUUCUUGGAUUCAGUUGCAAGUAUUUUAUUGAGAAUUUUAGCGUCUCUGUUCAUAAGGGAAAUUGGUCUAUAAUUCUCUUUGUUGGGUCUUUUUGUGGAUUGGGCAUUAGGGUAACUGUGGCCUUAUAAAACAAACUGGGCAAUGUUCCUUCUCUUUCUAUUUUGUGGAAUAAUUUAAGGAGUAUUGGCCCUAACUUGUCUUUGAAAGUCUCGUAGAAUUCUGUACAAAAUCAUCUGGUACUGGGCUUUGUUUGGUUGGAAGACUUAAUGGCUGCUUCUAUUUCACUAGGGAUUGUAGGUCUGUUUAAAUUGCUUAUCUGAUCUUGAUUUAACUUUGGUAAAUGAUAUGUAUUGAGAAGAUGAUGUAUUUCUUUCAGAUUUUCCAAUUUGGUAGAGUAUAGGUUUUUAAGUAUGUCCUUAUGAUUCUCCGGAUUUCUCUGUUUGUUGCUAUGUUCUCUCUUUCAUCUCUAGUUUUGUGUAUUUGGAUCUUCUCUCUCUGCCUUGUAGUUAAUUUGGCUAAGGGUUUGCCAAUCUUAUUAAUUUUCUAAAAGAUUUUCUAAACUAACUCUGUAUCACUGAUUCUUGUAUUGUUUUUUGUUUGUUUCUAGUUUAUUGAUUUCUGCCCUGAAUUGGAUUAUUUCUUGCCAUAUACUCCUUUUGAGUGUUAUUUCUUCUUUUUGUUCUAGAGCUGAUCAUCUCAUUAAUGCAGAAAAUCCCUGUGAAAAAAAAUUCAACAUCCCAUCAUGAUAAAAUUUCUGUAGAGAUUAGGGAUACAAGGGACAUACUUAAAGAAAAUAAAGGUGGCAAUUUACAACAAGCCCAUGGCCAACAUUGACAGUAUUGGCAGUGAGGAGUGGACUGAGACAUUGAUGGAACAUGGCCAUGCACACGUGUGAGCUUGGCACUCAAAUCGUGGACACUUAGGACUCUGAAAAUGGACUUGUGGCUCUAGAGCCUUCAUCCAGUAACUGAUGGAAGCAGAUGCAGAGAUCCACAACCAAGUAUCAGACUGAACUCUGGGAGUCCAGUCGAAGAGAAGGAAGAGGGAUUAUAUGAGCAAGGGGAUCAAGAUCAUAAUGAGAAAAUCUACAGAGACAACUGAACCAAGCUCAAAGGAACUCAUGAGCUUUAGACUGACAGCUGUGGAACCUGCAUGGGACCGGAUUAGACCCUCUGCGUAUGGGAGACAAGUCGUGUAGCUGGGUCUGUUUGAGGGGCCUCUGGCAUUGUGAUCAGGAUCUAUCCCUGCUGCAUGAGCUGGCUUUGUGGAUCCCGUUACCUAUGGUUGAACACCUUGCUCACCCUUGAGGCAGGGGGGAGGGGCUGGGUCCGUCCUCACCUGAAUGUAUCAGGCUUUGCUCUCCCCCCAUGGGAGAACUUACCCUUUCGGAG